ACCUAGCCGCGAUGGAAGGGAAAAUCCUUUUUUUCUUUCAGAGAAAUCCUCUUUUUAUGUAGGCUCUUCGAUAAAGAAAAAAAGAUUGGAAUGAACAGCGCGCGUAAUA
rnacentral:sRNA from 1 species